AGUUCGGUCCUGGCUCAGAUUGAACGCUGGCGGGAUGUAACUUUACACAUGCAAGUCGAACGGCAGCACGGACUUCGGUCUGGUGGCGAGUGGCGAACGGGUGAGUAAUGUAUCGGAACGUGCCUAGUAGCGGGGGAUAACUACGCGAAAGCGUAGCUAAUACCACUAUGCGCCCUUCGGGGAAAGCGGGGGACCCUUCGGGCCUCGCACUAUUAGAGCAGCCGAUAUCGGAUUAGCUAGUUGGUGGGGUAACGGCUCGCAAGGCGACGAUCCGUAGCUGGUUUGAGGACGACCAGCCACGCUGGGACUGUGAAGGCACGGCCCAGACUCCACCACGGGAGGCAGCAGUGAAAUUUUGGACAAUGGAAACCUGAUCCAGCCAUCCCGCGUGUGCGAUGAAGGUAUGGUUGUAAAGCACUUUUGGCAGGAAAGAAACGGCACAGGGAUAAUACCCCGUGCAACUGACGGUACCUGCAGAAUAAGCACCGGCUAACUACGUGCCGUAAACCGCGGUAAUACGUAGGGUGCAAGCGUUAAUCGGAAUUACUGGGCGUAAAGCGUGUGCAGGCAGUUCGGAAAAGAAAAGAUGUGAAAUCCCGAGCUUAACUUUGGAACUGCAUUUUUAACUACCGAGCUAAGAGUGUGUCUGAGAGGUGAAUUGCGUGCAGCAGUGAAAUGCGUAGAUAUGCGGAGGAACACCGGUGGCGAAAGGCGGCCUCCACAGGAUAACACUGACAUACCACGAAAAGCGUAGGGAACCAAGCAAGGAUUAUUUAACUGGUAGUCCCACGCCCUAAACGAUGUCAACUAGCUGUUGGGGCCUUCCGGGCCUUGGUAGCGCAGCUAACGCGUGAAGUUGACCGCCUCAAGAAUUACGGUGCCGGAGAUUCAAACUCAAAAGGAAUUGGUAGGACCAUUACCCCAGCCCGGUGGAUGAUGCUAGAUUCAUUCGAUGCCUUUAACGAAAAACUAUACCUACCCUUGACAUGUCUGGAAUCCGAAAGAGAUUUGGGAGUGCUCGCAAGAGAACCGGAACACAGGUGCUGCAUGGCUGUCGUCAGCUCAUGUCGUGGGAAUGUUGGGUUAAAGUCCCUAUGAAAGAGGCUGUACUAACAUUAGUUGCUACGAAAGGGCACUCUGUAAUGAGACUGCCGGUGACAAACCGGAGGGAAGGUGGGGAUGACGUCAAGUCCUCAUGGCCCCAUAUGGGGUGGGGCCCCACGUCCGUACAAUGGUCGGGACAGAGGGUCGCCAACCCGCGAGGGGGAGCCAAUCCCAGAAACCCGAUCGUAGUCCGGAUCGCAGUCUGCAACUCGACUGCGUGAAGUCGGAAUCGCUAGUAAUCGCGGAUCAGCAUGUCGCGGUGAAUACGUUCCCGGGUCUUGUACACACCGCCCGUCACACCAUGGGGUGGGUUUUACCAGGAAGUAAGUUAGCCUAACCGUAAGGGCGAUUACCACGGUAGGAUUCAUGACUGGGGUGAAGUGUAACAAAGGGUAG
rnacentral:rRNA from 1 species